UUUCCGUAGGUGAACCUGCGGAAGGAUCAUUGAAUUCAGAUCAUGCCAGUCUGCGAACCAACCGUUCCCCGCCUGUCCGGGCCUUUAGAAGAGGCCCGGGCCGGCGCGCAUGUCCCUGACGUCGGGGGUCCGCGCCUGUGCACUCGGAUCGAAGGGCGUGCAGAGCCCGGAGGUCCGAGAUGGACGGACGUCGCCGGCGGCUCAGGUCUUGCGGGCCGGGGGAGGGGGUCGCGGUGCCCACCCGGGUGGGGUGGGGCCGUCCCUCUUCACCGGUCGGAAAACCCAACUCCACCAAACACCAACACAAUCGGAGUUCUGAAGACGAAUGCGGAUCCGGCGAAAGCCGCCCGCGAGACACAAACCGAAGACAACUCUCAACAACGGAUAUCUUGGCUCCC
rnacentral:misc_RNA from 1 species